rnacentral:rRNA from 1 species
UGCCAGCCGCCGCGGUAAUACGGAGGGUGCAAGCGUUGUUCGGAAUUACUGGGCGUAAAGCGCGCGUAGGCGGCUAUUUAAGUCAGAUGUGAAAGUCCACGGCUCAACCGUGGAAGUGCAUUUGAAACUGGAUAGCUUGAGUACUGGAGGGGGUGGUGGAAUUCCCGGUGUAGAGGUGAAAUUCGUAGAUAUCUGAAGGAACAUCAGUGGCGAAGGCGACUACCUGGCCAGAUACUGACGCUGAGGUGCGAAAGCGUGGGGAGCAAACAGGAUUAGAUA